rnacentral:rRNA from 1 species
AAAUUGAAGAGUUUGAUCAUGGCUCAGAUUGAACGCUGGCGGCAGGCCUAACACAUGCAAGUCGAACGGUAACAGGAAACAGCUUGCUGUUUCGCUGACGAGUGGCGGACGGGUGAGUAAUGUCUGGGAAACUGCCUGAUGGAGGGGGAUAACUACUGGAAACGGUAGCUAAUACCGCAUAACGUCGCAAGACCAAAGAGGGGGACCUUCGGGCCUCUUGCCAUCGGAUGUGCCCAGAUGGGAUUAGCUUGUUGGUGGGGUAACGGCUCACCAAGGCGACGAUCCCUAGCUGGUCUGAGAGGAUGACCAGCCACACUGGAACUGAGACACGGUCCAGACUCCUACGGGAGGCAGCAGUGGGGAAUAUUGCACAAUGGGCGCAAGCCUGAUGCAGCCAUGCCGCGUGUAUGAAGAAGGCCUUCGGGUUGUAAAGUACUUUCAGCGGGGAGGAAGGGAGUAAAGUUAAUACCUUUGCUCAUUGACGUUACCCGCAGAAGAAGCACCGGCUAACUCCGUGCCAGCAGCCGCGGUAAUACGGAGGGUGCAAGCGUUAAUCGGAAUUACUGGGCGUAAAGCGCACGCAGGCGGUUUGUUAAGUCAGAUGUGAAAUCCCCGGGCUCAACCUGGGAACUGCAUCUGAUACUGGCAAGCUUGAGUCUCGUAGAGGGGGGUAGAAUUCCAGGUGUAGCGGUGAAAUGCGUAGAGAUCUGGAGGAAUACCGGUGGCGAAGGCGGCCCCCUGGACGAAGACUGACGCUCAGGUGCGAAAGCGUGGGGAGCAAACAGGAUUAGAUACCCUGGUAGUCCACGCCGUAAACGAUGUCGACUUGGAGGUUGUGCCCUUGAGGCGUGGCUUCCGGAGCUAACGCGUUAAGUCGACCGCCUGGGGAGUACGGCCGCAAGGUUAAAACUCAAAUGAAUUGACGGGGGCCCGCACAAGCGGUGGAGCAUGUGGUUUAAUUCGAUGCAACGCGAAGAACCUUACCUGGUCUUGACAUCCACAGAACUUUCCAGAGAUGGAUUGGUGCCUUCGGGAACUGUGAGACAGGUGCUGCAUGGCUGUCGUCAGCUCGUGU